rnacentral:rRNA from 1 species
AAUCAACGCUGGCGGCGUGCCUAACACAUGCAAGUCGCACGGGAUUGGGGGCAACUCCAGUUCAGUGGCAGAUGGGUGCGUAACACAUGAGGAACUUGUCCGACGGCGGGGGAUAGCCGGCCCAACGGCCGGGUAAUACCGCGUACGCUCAUUUGGGGACAUCCCCGGGUGAGGAAAGCAGCCGCAAGGUUGCGCCGAUGGAGAGCCUCGCGGCGUAUCAGCAGUUGGCGGGUAACGGCCCACCAAGGCUACGAUCAGUAGCUGGUCUGAGAGGAUGAUCAGCCACAUUGGGACUGAGACACGGCCCAAACUCCUACGGGAGGCAGCAGUGGGGAAUAUUGGACAAUGGGCGAAAGCCUGAUCCAGCCAUGCCGCGUGAGUGAUGAAGGCCUUA